rnacentral:rRNA from 1 species
ACGAACGCUGGCGGCGUGCUUAACACAUGCAAGUCGAACGGAAAGGCCCUGCUUUUGUGGGGUGCUCGCGUGGCGAACGGGUGAGUAACACGUGAGUAACCUGCCCUUGACUUUGGGAUAACUUCAGGAAACUGGGGCUAAUACCGGAUAGGAGCUCCUGCUGCAUGGUGGGGGUUGGAAAGUUUCGGCGGUUGGGGAUGGACUCGCGGCUUAUCAGCUUGUUGGUGGGGUAGUGGCUUACCAAGGCUUUGACGGGUAGCCGGCCUGAGAGGGUGACUGGCCACAUUGGGACUGAGAUACGGCCCAGACUCCUACGGGAGGCAGCAGUGGGGAAUAUUGCACAAUGGGCGGAAGCCUGAUGCAGCAACGCCGCGUGCGGGAUGACGGCCUUCGGGUUGUAAACCGCUUUCGCCUGUGACGAAGCGUGAGUGACGGUAAUGGGUAAAGAAGCACCGGCUAACUACGUG